UCAGAUAUAUCUAUAUUUAUAUCUAUAUAUAUCAUAUAAUAAUGUGUGUGUAUAUAUGUAUGUAUACAUAUGUUAACUUAUAUGUAUACAUUUGUGUAUGUAUAUACACACACAUGUGUAUACAUAUGUGUGUAUGUGUACAUAUGUAAUUAUUGUGUAUAUAUAUAUAUAUAUGUAUAUAACUGUGUAUGUAUCCCUCCGGUGGUCCAGGCUCCUCCUCUGACCUCUGACCUUGACCUGGUUUUGUCUACUUGAGACUUUUAAACUAAACGGCCUUGUGUGUGUUUUUACUUUUCUAUGUUUGAGUGGUUUGUAAAUCCCUAGUGGAGGAACCGGGGUUCCUCUACCUGGUCCCGGGGGGGGCCCUGGGGGGGGCUCCACACCACACCACACCAGCCCCGUGUGGACACGUAGCCACGAUGGACUGUUGCUCAAUUAUGCUCUCAUCCGCAACACCAGGCUUUCCCACACCUGCCAAAUAAAGGGCCGGCCAGGCUCGGGGGGCCGGACCCUGGUUCCGGACCCCGAGGCACGGUCUUCGGGGACAAGCUCCGCCCUCACAGGAAGUACAGACCCAUGUGUCGGAGGUUGGGUGAUGCAGCGCCGUCGUAUUCAGGGUCAGACUCCUCCCCCCGCCGCCGCCCAGAGCUGGUUAGACCUUUAUACCGGGUCGGGGGGCUCCGGGACCAGGACCAAGGGCUUCAGGGACCAGGACCCGGGGCCCCAGGGUCCAGGACUCUGACCGGUCUGAGGGGGGACCCGGGCCGGGCCUCAGGGCGGACCUCCACCUGCGCUUCACUUCAAACGUCGGUGCCAAGGAGCUCAGGGCCUCUGAGCCUCAGGGCCUCUGAGCCUCAGGGCCUCUGCUCAGGAGCCGAACCUUCAACUUAUUUAUUACGGUUGGACUCUUUAUCGAUUUAUUUCUUUUGUUUUGUCUAAGUGAAGGAAUAAAGAUUUUUAAACCAAGUUU
ensembl:lncRNA